CAAUAGCGUAUAUUAAAGUUGUUGCGGUUAAAAGCUCGUAGUUGGAUUUCUGCUUGGGGCGACCGGUCCACCCUUCGGGUGUGUAUCUGGUGUGCUUUGGGCAUCCUCCUGGAGAACGUUCCUGCACUUGACUGUGUGGUGCGGUAUCUAGGACUUUUACUUUGAGGAAAUUAGAGUGUUCACUGCAGGCAUUUCGCCUUGAAUACAUUAGCAUGGAAUAAUAAGAUAGGACCUCGGUUCUAUUUUGUCGGUUUCUAGAGCUGAGGUAAUGAUUAACAGGGAUAGUUGGGGCAUUGCGUAUUUAAUCUGUCAGAGGUGAAAUUCUUGGAUUUGUUAAAGACGAACUACUGCGAAAGCAUUUGCCAAGGAUGUUUUCAUUGAUCAAGAACGAAAGUUAGGGGAUCGAAGACGAUCAGAU
rnacentral:rRNA from 1 species